rnacentral:tRNA from 1 species
CUUGAGGUCAUUGUGCUGCAGUCAGGGAUUGGUAAGGUCAAUGCCGCAGUAGGCACGGCUAUUUU